rnacentral:SRP_RNA from 1 species
GCUGGGUGUGGUGGCGCGUGCCUGUUGUCCCAGCUACUUGGGAGGCUGAGGCGGGAGGACCACUUGAGCCCAGGAGUUCUGGGCAGUAGUGCGCUGUGCUGAUCUGGUGUCUGCACUAACUUUGGCAUCGAUAUGGUGACCUCCCAGGAGCAGAAGACCAGCAGGUUGCCUAAGGAGGGGUGAACCAGCCCCAGUCAGAAACAGAGCAGAUCAAAACUCCUGUACUGAUCAGUAGUGGGAUCACGCCUGUGAAUAGCCUGGGUAACAUAGCCACGUCCCAUCUCU